UUUAUGGAGAGUUUGAUCCUGGCUCAGAGUGAACGCUGGCGGCGUGCCUAAUACAUGCAAGUCGAACGAUGAAGCUUCUAGCUUGCUAGAAUGCUGAUUAGUGGCGCACGGGUGAGUAACGCAUAGGUCAUGUGCCUCUUAGUUUGGGAUAGCCAUUGGAAACGAUGAUUAAUACCAGAUACUCCCUACGGGGGAAAGAUUUAUCGCUAAGAGAUCAGCCUAUGUCCUAUCAGCUUGUUGGUAAGGUAAUGGCUUACCAAGGCUAUGACGGGUAUCCGGCCUGAGAGGGUGAACGGACACACUGGAACUGAGACACGGUCCAGACUCCUACGGGAGGCAGCAGUAGGGAAUAUUGCUCAAUGGGGGAAACCCUGAAGCAGCAACGCCGCGUGGAGGAUGAAGGUUUUAGGAUUGUAAACUCCUUUUGUUAGAGAAGAUAAUGACGGUAUCUAACGAAUAAGCACCGGCUAACUCCGUGCCAGCAGCCGCGGUAAUACGGAGGGUGCAAGCGUUACUCGGAAUCACUGGGCGUAAAGAGCGCGUAGGCGGGAUAGUCAGUCAGGUGUGAAAUCCUAUGGCUUAACCAUAGAACUGCAUUUGAAACUACUAUUCUAGAGUGUGGGAGAGGUAGGUGGAAUUCUUGGUGUAGGGGUAAAAUCCGUAGAGAUCAAGAGGAAUACUCAUUGCGAAGGCGACCUGCUGGAACAUUACUGACGCUGAUUGCGCGAAAGCGUGGGGAGCAAACAGGAUUAGAUACCCUGGUAGUCCACGCCCUAAACGAUGGAUGCUAGUUGUUGGAGGGCUUAGUCUCUCCAGUAAUGCAGCUAACGCAUUAAGCAUCCCGCCUGGGGAGUACGGUCGCAAGAUUAAAACUCAAAGGAAUAGACGGGGACCCGCACAAGCGGUGGAGCAUGUGGUUUAAUUCGAAGAUACACGAAGAACCUUACCUAGGCUUGACAUUGAGAGAAUCCGCUAGAAAUAGUGGAGUGUCUGGCUUGCCAGACCUUGAAAACAGGUGCUGCACGGCUGUCGUCAGCUCGUGUCGUGAGAUGUUGGGUUAAGUCCCGCAACGAGCGCAACCCCCUUUCUUAGUUGCUAACAGGUCAUGCUGAGAACUCUAAGGAUACUGCCUCCGUAAGGAGGAGGAAGGUGGGGACGACGUCAAGUCAUCAUGGCCCUUACGCCUAGGGCUACACACGUGCUACAAUGGGGUGCACAAAGAGAAGCAAUACUGCGAAGUGGAGCCAAUCUUCAAAACAUCUCUCAGUUCGGAUUGUAGGCUGCAACUCGCCUGCAUGAAGCUGGAAUCGCUAGUAAUCGCAAAUCAGCCAUGUUGCGGUGAAUACGUUCCCGGGUCUUGUACUCACCGCCCGUCACACCAUGGGAGUUGUGUUUGCCUUAAGUCAGGAUGCUAAAUUAGCUACUGCCCACGGCACACACAGCGACUGGGGUGAAGUCGUAACAAGGUAACCGUAGGUGAACCUGCGGUUGGAUCACCUCCUUUCUAGA
rnacentral:rRNA from 1 species